rnacentral:rRNA from 1 species
AGCGAACGCUGGCGGCAGGCUUAACACAUGCAAGUCGAGCGGGCCUUUCGGGGUCAGCGGCGGACGGGUGAGUAACGCGUGGGAACGUGCCCUCUGGUUCGGAAUAACUCAGGGAAACUUGAGCUAAUACCGGAUACGCCCUUUUGGGGAAAGGCUUGCUGCCGGAGGAUCGGCCCGCGUCUGAUUAGCUAGUUGGUGAGGUAACGGCUCACCAAGGCGACGAUCAGUAGCUGGUCUGAGAGGAUGAUCAGCCACACUGUGACUGAGACACGGCCCAGACUCCUACGGGAGGCAGCAGUGGGGAAUAUUGGACAAUGGGUGCAAGCCUGAUCCAGCCAUGCCGCGUGAGUGAUGAAGGCCUUAGGGUUGUAAAGCUCUUUUAUCCGGGACGAUAAUGACGGUACCGGAGGAAUAAGCCCCGGCUAACUUCGUG